rnacentral:rRNA from 1 species
GUUGAACGCUGGCGGCGUGCUUUACACAUGCAAGUCGAACGAAAACACGAGGGGCUCGCUCCUGUCGCGUUAGCGGCGGACGGGUGAUAAACCCGUGGAUACCCUACCUAUGGGACUGGGAUAACUUCGGGUAACCUGAUCUCAUAUCGGAUAAUAUAUUGAACGGCAUGGUCCAUCAGUGAAAGACGGUUUUGCUGGCACUUAUAGAUGGAUCCGCGCCGCAUUAGCUAGUUGGUAAGGUAACGGCUUACCAAGGCAACGAUGCGUAGCCGACCUGAGAGGGUGAUCGGCCACACUGGAACUGAGACACGGUCCAGACUCCUACGGGAGGCAGCAGUAGGGAAUCUUGCACAAUGGGCGAAAGCCUGACGGAGCAACGCCGCGUGAAGGAUGAAGGUCUUCGGAUCGUAAACUGCUUUUAUAAGGAAAGAAAAGGUUUUGACUUAACCAUGCGCGUCAUGACGGUACCGAAACAAAAAGCACCGGCUAACUACGUG